CAGCGGAGCCUGCCACUGAAGAGUAGAAGAUUGAACCGGAUCUUGAAUCAGCUGCCCGGAUGUAUCGAAGACAGAUCUUAAAGAAUACAGAUGAAAAACCAGACCUAGUUGUUACACUAGAUCUGCACAGCUGUGAAAAGGAUCGUGAAUGAGAAAUGUUAGCUUUUUAUAAACGUCCAAAUGUUGAUUGGACAAGUCCGUUAACUGUAAAACUUAAAGGAGAUGCUGCAUUAGGGAAUGGAGUAAAACGGCACUUUUUCUCAUUGAUAAUGGAAAAGCUCCACCAUGGAUUUGAACUUGACAUCGAUAACUGUGGCAAAACACUGCUCUUCAAUGGCGAAGAUGAUCACAAGGUUCCUUCAACAUCCAGAGCACUCUUG